CGCUAUUAAUAACAAUAUAAAAUAUAAAAGCUUCUAUGAAAAUCAAUAUAAAUCAGAAUUAAAUAACAGAUCUGAUAGCCUUCUUAGACUCAACAACCCUGAAGCAAUUAUCAGCAGAUAUGAAAAUAAAUAAUUGACAACACUCAAUUCAGUACUUCCAAUAUCCAUGUAUCAAACGGUUAUUUCAGUCAUAUUAAAACCAGAUUCCCCUGCAGAUUAAAGAUUCAUUUUUAUAAAUUGGCAACAAUAAAAAUAAUAACAAAACUUAUAAGCAACAGAAUGGCAAAAGUACUUGAUUCAUAUUAAGGGUUUAUUAAAAAAGGCUUACAAACAAAUACAAUGACAUGUUUUAGUAUAAUACAAUAUGCAAAAAAAAACAAGAUUUAUCAACAAUGAAUGUUGAUGCUGAAAAGGCUUUUGACUGUCUUGUGUGGCCUCUUAUAUUAAAAACUUUGGAAGCAUUCAUCUUUCCAGCUAAAAUAAUAAAUUUCAUACAAAUAUUAUACAAAAAUCAUAAAGCUAAAAUAUACAAAACGAAUCCAUUAUCUGAUUACAUUUCUUUAGAAAGGGGUACAAGGCAGGGACGUCCCUUCUCCCCCUUCCUUUUUGCACUGGCAAUUGAACCACAUCCAGUAAGAAUUUGACAGGAUCCAAACGUAACAGGUAUCAGUAUUGGUAAACAUGAAUAUAAACUAAACUUGUCUGCUGACGAUCUCCUGAUAUACCUGACUAAUAGUGAAAACUCAAUGCCCCCCUUGUUAAAAACAAAUCCGUAAUACUCAAAAAUCUCAGGAUUUAAAAUGAACGUGGAAAUAAUGUCAAUAGGAAAAAUCUACAGCAAACCUUUAAGUAUGCUACAAAAAAGAUGAAAUACUUAGAAUGCUUAAUAAGUGACAACAAACAACAAAUAUAUAGAAAGAUAACUUUAUCUCAUUACUCAAAAAAAAUGAAAGCAGAUCUAGAUAAAUGGAACAAGCUCCCCAUAAAUCUUACAGGUAGAAUACACCUCUUUAGAAUGGCAUGGCUCCCAACGUUUUCAUAUUGAUUUAAUGGGAGUACCAAUUACCCCACCGAAGACAUUCUUUACAAAAGUAAACCCAGCCAUGACAGACUUCAUAUAAAACUCAUAGAAUAAAUUGGAAAGUUUUACAUGUCCCUAAAUCUGAGAGUGGUUUUAACCUUCCAGACUUGGAAUCAUAUCAACUCGCCACCCAAGGCUUUUACUUGCGACAUACACUGAGUAUACGAAACAUUAAGAACAACUGCUCUUUCCAUGACAUAGACUGACCAGCUUAAUCCAGGUGAAAGCUUGUCUUUCCUGUGGCUCAGUUGGUAGAGCAUGGUGUUUGCAACGCCAGCAUGGCGUGUGCAACGCCAGGGUUGUGGGUUCGAUUCCCACGGGGGGCCAGUACAAAAAAUUAAAAUAAAUAAAAAAGAAUGCAUGAAAUGUAUGUAUUCACUACUGUAAGUCGCUCUGGAUAAGAGCUAAAUGACUAAAAAUGUUUACAAAAAUGUAAAUGUAAGCUAUAAUCCCUUAUUGAUGUCACUUGUUAAAUCCACUCCAAUCAGUGUAGAUGAAGGGGAGGAGACCGGUUAAAGAAGGAUUUUUAAUCCUUGACACAUUUGAGACAUGAGGUUUGAUAGUGGCCAGUUCGUAUGAUCAGAACUCAGGAUCAGACCCAGAUGCAGGCAGAGGUCAGUAAUCCAGGGCAGUGUCACAAGGUACAGAACGCCGGUCAUGGCAGGCAGAAUGGUCAAAACCGGGAAAACUAUAAAGCAGGGACCAGAGAGAAAACAGGAGUAUGGGAAGAACGCUGGUAGGCUUGACAAGACAAGACGAACUGGCAACAGACAAACAGAGAAAACAGGUAUAAAUACACAGGGGGAUAAUGGGGAAAAUGGGCGACACCUGGAGGGGGGUGGACACAAGCACAAGACAGGUGAAACAGAUCAUGGUGUGACAGCUUGUCUUUAGAAACUAUAGUACAAUCAUCUUGUCUUGACAGUGACCACAAGAAGAAGUGUGUGCCUCAGUCGGUAUAGCCUGGAGCUUGCACCGCUACCCAUACGUAACUGAAAGCUAAAUGGCAUACAUUAUGUGAUGAUUUAUUCUAUAAUUAUUCUAUAUUAAGGCCAUGGGUAGUAGGCAGUGGACCAGUCUAUAAUUAUUCUAUAUUAAGGCCAUGGGUAGUAGGCAGUGGAUCAGUCUAUAAUUAUUCUAUAUUAAGGCCAUGGGUAGUAGGCAGUGGAUCAGUCUAUAAUUAUUCUAUAUUAAGGCCAUGGGUAGUAGGCAGUGGAU
rnacentral:lncRNA from 1 species